CCUCGCGAGAGGGAGCGCGGCUGGGGUUGUGGACUGUGCUGUCAGGUGUCGUGCGGCGUGUAUGGUGCAUGUGGGCCGAGUGCGAGUACGGAUGUGCGAAUGUGUGUGCGCGCGUCUGGGGCGUGGAAGGCGAGUGUGUGUGUGUCCUCCCCACGCCCCUCCCCUCGCCUACACCUUGAUCUUAUUUGAUCGGGUCGUGACCCCCGCCCCGCCGGGCCGCCCCGAAAUGAAAAGCAGCCCUCCUGCGAAGCCCCCUCGGUGGGGCGCUGUGCAGCGAGGCCCUCUGGGCGGUGGCGGCGCCGCGGUUCCCGGGGUUCCGGGGUCGGUCCUGCGGGCCCGGCGCUCAGAAGUGAUGAAUUGAUCAGAUAGACGAGGCUGGGUCCGUCCCAGCCACUGAUUACCGAGGCGAUUCUGAUCUGA